CGGAAAAGUUGCCAGAGAUCGGCAGGCACGUCCCACAACCCGGAGCAAGCUCCUCUGUGCUUCACCAAGUCACACCAGGGGUGGGUGACAGCGCCAUGGAGGAUUAACAAGCAAGAAACUAAAAACCAAGGGAAGAGCCAUGGACACAAGGAAAUUCAUGUGCACCUACACAGCUUACUAAUGAAGGAGCAGCCCUAAACUACAAUUAAGAGUCUGCUGCAGGCACGAGAGGGCAGACUGAUGCACAUUAUGGAUCUUGCCAACAACAGGGGUCUGAAUCUGCUACUUAACUUUCUGCUCAUUGUCUUGGUCCUAGUGCUUGCAUUUAUCCUUGUGAAGCUGAUGUGAACCUCUGCAAGGCUCUGUUUCCUUCUCAGAUUUCAUCCUGUGGGUUUUGCAAUGAUAAUGCAGACACUUUAGACUACCUGAAUAUAAGUAUGUGAAGUCUGCAGAGGCUGAAGUAUCUGAGAGUUACAGAGAAUGUGUUCACACCCCAAAUUUAUCAGAAAGCAAUCCUAAGAGCUGUGCACAAGCUGUGCAUCUGCCACUGAGUAAAGAAAGCACCUACAGCCUCACUGAGAACCCGAAGAAACCCAGGAAUGCAUCGGCAGAUACAGUAGCUUCUCAUUGCUACAGCUGGUUGUUAUUUAAAGAUCUACAAAUUAUUUGCAGCAUUCAAGGAACAUAAUUUCUGCAAAAAGGGGACAGUAGAAAUCAAAUUUUUAAAAUGGGAUUUCUGUAGAACAUAUACUUAAUGGGAAAUGACAGCAAGAAGGCAAACCAAAAUGCCAGCUUUGAGUUGACAGUACACAUCAAAUUACCUGUGGAGAGAAAAGCACAGAUGCUGUAAAUGGAAACAAAGAUAUCCCUGAAAAGCAGCUUGCAGUAGCAGAGAUGGGGAUAAGUGAAGAUCAAAUAUGAAAACUAGACCUUUUUUUGACCACCUGUGGUUCACUGCAACACCUCAAAAGCCAGAAGCCUUAUGUUAACCAGCAUAUCAAAAGAAGCACCUGAUAAAACAACUGAAAAACAAAGGGCCAUUACCCAGGGUUAUCAUAACUCUGGCCAGGAGACCCUCAGCACCAGCACAUACACAGAGAGGAUUUACCACUUAUGCACAGGUCAAGGUGAUCAGUGUGGGAGCCCUGCAGCCGUAUUUGACAGAGCACUUGUUACUUGCCAGUGCCAUCACCAGUCCAUAGCCUGUCCUCACCUCUAGGCAUGCAGCAAAAACUCCUUACAGGACCCUCUUUUAUGGCUCCUUACACAGUGAUGUACUUUUCCCACAGGCUCCUGGGAAGGAGAGUGACCAACAAGAGCACACUUCUGUUGGAAUGAUUUUCCAGAAGGCAGAGCUAAAAACAUGAGAAGUGCUGAGAAAGGAGGGGACCAGAAGCAGAUUUUUGUACAUCACAUUGGAGCCAAACAACUUUCUCUUAGCAUCUCACUUUCCCAAGUGAAACACAGGAACCAACCACAAAAAUCACCAUGUGUAAACCAAAAAAUAGAUAUUGUACAGUAAAUUUAUUGCCAUAGAUAUGCAUAUUAACACACAUGCAUAAGAGGCAGAUGUUGUUUUAUGGAUGGGGGAGGCUCCAGCUUCCUACUGCCAACAGCACAUCCCUGAUUGAACACAUAUAUACUGCUGAGUGCUGAGUGUAUUACAGAGCUGAUCUAUUCAUGUUCAUGCCCAGAACUGCCAUAUGAUCACUAUUGUUAUUCAGUUAUCUGCAGGAGACUCAUCUAAACUGGAUCUAUGAACAGACUUUUCACAGGAAAAGGCAGCAUGCCCAGCAAACCUGAAAGCUCAAGGAAGUCCUGCCAUUAGUAAGUAUCCACAUUCCACUCUAUGCAACCUGCUCCAAAGCUUACAGAGCAUUAGUGUGCUGAUUUUAUCUGGAAUAAAGUUAAUUUUGUUCAUGAUAUAGUAGUUAGCAUGGGACUAUGGACUGGUAUAAGUCCAAAGUGUAGCUAUGAUGAAGGAAAUUGCCUCUGCCCCAGCCAAACCAGCACAAUGGCCUCAAGCAGCACAGAUAGUUAAAACAAAAGCUUUUUUCUCACCUGCUCUGAAAUAUGUGCAAUAACCACUUGAAAUGGCUUCUGCAAACUACAUACCCACAAUUUUUUGAAGUUGAUAGUUACAGAAGUAUGAAUUCCAAUCUGUUUGCAUUUAAACCAAAAAACUUUGCACAGCUACAUCACAAAAAGCAAUCAUUUAUUUUUAUAAUCUUGAAAUAUUCUGCUUUCAAAAAAUAUGUAAAUUUAUAUACCAGAGAUAUAUGUGGUAAUGGUUACAUAGUUUUGUAUUACUUAGGAGAAUUCCUGUCGAUGCUUGACAUAUAUGGUUCAAAGCACAGCAAAACCACAGUAACAAACAGGAAACCCACUCUAGCCCAAAGCAGAAUAAGAACAGUUGUCCCAACAAAAUGGUUAUUCACUGCCUGGGACUACUCAAAGUUUAUUGUUUAUAUGACCUUCUCUAUAUUCAGAAGUUUCCCUAUCUUAGGGAAACCACUGUGACACCAGCUGGCCCUGACAAAACAAUGAAGUCACCUAUUCCUUUUUAAUAAAUUGAGGAAGAUGAGCCUACUGCCACCAACGAGCAUGUAUUUCCAGAUCAAAAAUUGCAUACCAAGGAAGUCUGUGAGAAACUUUGCUGUCAGAGCAUGGAGAAACAAUCCCCAGACGCAAUCCCAGUAGCCUCCUCUCAGGCAGCAAUGAACAUGACAGAAUCCUCAGCAAAUGCUGAAAUGCACUACUGAAACGGAAGCAUUUUCCAGAGAUGACAUAUAAAGCUGGCAAACUGAUGAGCUAACCAGUGCCAAGGCUUUUUUUGCAAUCAAGCACCGUCCAAGUUUGGUUUCCGAUCAUUUGCUGCACUCCAGACUGAACCUACAAGCACCUUACAAUGAAUGGGAUCCCAUGUGCUGGGCUACCAACUUCACAGCAAAAGGAACAGACCAUCAAAAGCUUAGUUAUGGCUCCCAGCAAAGGAGUUCACUCUGCUAGCUAAAAGUGAAAAUCCCUCAUGUUGAAAAGUUUUCUGUUCCUGAAAAGUAUGGUUUCAUCAAAAUGUGAUAUAGGAAAAUAUUGAUAUUAAUAAUUUUAAUUUUCUGA